CAGAGUUGCAAGACUCCCUAAACCAUUGUGAACCUACCUUCUACCGUUGCCUCGGCGGGCGGGCCCAGCGCCCCCCCGGCCCCCCGCGGGCGCCCGCCGGAGGAUACCCAAACUCUUGACAUUAGUGGUCCUCUCUGAGUAUUCUUUACUGAAUAAGUCA
rnacentral:misc_RNA from 1 species